UUUUCGUCAUUUUUCUUCGAAAAUACUGAAACUCACCAAAAACAUGGUGUAAAAGCUAAAUAUAUUCAUACAUAUUUUAAAUUAAAUAACUGAAGAAUAAAAUUACUUUUACAGUGACACAUGAGCCCCGAACUGACUAAGAAAAUGUAGGGUUACGAACCCUUACUUUCUAAGAUGCAACUUCGAGAUUAAUUCUCGUCUUAAUCAACUAUCAACAAAUUUUCCUGAGCCUGAAAAAUGGAUAGGAAGAAGGGGUGAGAUUAUAAAAUCCCAGUGAGUAGACAGACAUCAUCAAAAUAAUCUAAAGCUGAGUAAUAGGAGACAAUUAAAAUAAUUCAUCCCAACCCAUAUAAAUAAUUGGAUUUCAUCCAAUUACUCAACAUGGCUUAUGUACUUUUCAAAAACUUAGCCCUUGCC
rnacentral:lncRNA from 1 species